AGGGUUCGAUUCUGGCUCAGGAUGAACGCUAGCGACAGGCUAACACAUGCAAGUCGAGGGGCAGCAUAAAAGUAGCAAUACUUGGUGGCGACCGGCGCACGGGUGAGUAACGCGUAUGCAACCUACCUAUCAGAGGGGAAUAACCCGGCGAAAGUCGGACUAAUACCGCAUAAAACAGGGGCACCGCAUGGUGAUAUUUGUUAAAGAAAUUCGCUGAUAGAUGGGCAUGCGUUCCAUUAGGUAGUUGGUGAGGUAACGGCUCACCAAGCCGACGAUGGAUAGGGGAACUGAGAGGUUGGUCCCCCACACUGGUACUGAGACACGGACCAGACUCCUACGGGAGGCAGCAGUGAGGAAUAUUGGUCAAUGGGCGGGAGCCUGAACCAGCCAAGUCGCGUGAAGGAAAGAAGGAUCUAUGGUUCGUAAACUUCUUUUGCAGAGGAAUAAAGUGCAGGACGUGUCCUGUUUUGUAUGUACCCUGAGAAUAAGGAUCGGCUAACUCCGUGCCAGCAGCCGC
rnacentral:rRNA from 1 species